UAAGAUAAUUCAUCUUCAGUUAGUGAAACUGAUUCAGUUAGUGAAAUUGAUCCCCAAAUUUGAGGCAUUGUCCGAGUUUGACCCAGUCAUCCCUGAGUUUGAACGAGUCUGACCGAAUCCUUCCGGUACCGUGGAGUCAUGCCCGGGUUUGAACUUUGACCGAGUUGAUGAUUCUGGCCAAUUCCGCCAAGUCAUGCCCGAGUUUGACCGAGUCCAAUUCUGGUUACCGCGUUGGUGAAAAUCGCAACUGAGUUGAUGGUGUGGUCGUAUACUUCUUAUGAAACUACACAGACAACAACCAGUCAUAUUUGCAAUUCAAUUUCUCAGUUCUUCACAAGGUCAAAAGUGUAUAUCAUAUAGCCAAGGUAACAAAUCUGGCGAGUUAAAAGCAUAUGCACACCAUAUGUUUGAUAAAAUGCUUGUGUGAGAUAAAGCCUCUAGAGUUCACAAGUGUAUAUCCUAAACCCAAGGUAACAUA